rnacentral:rRNA from 1 species
UACGUAGGGAGCAAGCGUUGUUCGGAUUUACUGGGCGUAAAGGGCGCGUAGGCGGCGCGGUAAGUCACUUGUGAAAUCUCUGAGCUUAACUCAGAACGGCCAAGUGAUACUGCAGUGCUAGAGUGCAGAAGGGGCAAUCGGAAUUCUUGGUGUAGCAGUGAAAUGCGUAGAUAUCGGGAGGAACACCAGUGGCGAAGGCGAGUCCCUGGACAAUUCCUGACGCUGAGGCACGAAAGCCAGGGGAGCAAACAGG